UAGCAUAAUCAUUUGUCUUUUAGUUGGAGGCUGGUAUAAGUGGGGAGACGAUGUCUCGCCUUUCCUGGCGCACGCACGGGAAUUUGAUAUUUGCGUCAAAAAGCGCAAUUUUUUGGAAAGACGAUAAGACCCCGUAAAGCUUUACCUGGGUCCGAAGCAACAUUUGGGUGCAAAGCUGCCGUGGCAGGGGUUGAGCUGGGGCGGCAUUCAAACAACCUUGACCGAAACAACAUACACACAUGAGUUGGUGGAUCUGACACAGAGCUGGAACAAGUUACUUCGGGGAUAACAGCGCAAUUCCCUCGGAUAGAUCUUAUAGAUGGAGGAGACUUGCGACCUCGAUGUUGAAUUGAGGGGCCUGAGUCGAGCAGAAACGACUACAGGAGGUCUGUUCGACCCGUAAAACCUCA
rnacentral:rRNA from 1 species